AUCCAGCUGGCGAGUCCCAAAUAGGAAGAAACGCGGGUCCUGGAU
rfam:Schistosoma curassoni strain Dakar, Senegal genome assembly, scaffold: SCTD_contig0000397